UACGUAGGGUCCGAGCGUUGUCCGGAAUUAUUGGGCGUAAAGAGCUCGUAGGCGGUCUGUUGCGUCGGUUGUGAAAACCUGGGGCUCAGCUCCAGGCCUGCAAUUGAUACGGGCAGACUAGAGUUCGGUAGGGGAGACUGGAAUUCCUGGUGUAGCGGUGAAAUGCGCAGAUAUCAGGAGGAACACCGGUGGCGAAGGCGGGUCUCUGGGCCGAAACUGACGCUGAGGCGCGAAAGCCAGGGGAGCAAACGGG
rnacentral:rRNA from 1 species